CCUACGGGAGGCAGCAGUGAGGAAUAUUGGACAAUGGGCGCAAGCCUGAUCCAGCCAUGCCGCGUGCAGGAUGACGGUCCUAUGGAUUGUAAACUGCUUUUAUACAGGAAGAAACACCUCUACGUGUAGAGACUUGACGGUACUGUAAGAAUAAGGAUCGGCUAACUCCGUGCCAGCAGCCGCGGUAAUACGGAGGAUCCAAGCGUUAUCCGGAAUCAUUGGGUUUAAAGGGUCCGUAGGCGGUUUAGUAAGUCAGUGGUGAAAGCCCAUCGCUCAACGGUGGAACGGCCAUUGAUACUGCUAGACUUGAAUUAUUAGGAAGUAACUAGAAUAUGUAGUGUAGCGGUGAAAUGCUUAGAGAUUACAUGGAAUACCAAUUGCGAAGGCAGGUUACUACUAAUUGAUUGACGCUGAUGGACGAAAGCGUGGGUAGCGAACAGGAUUAGAUACCCUGGUAGUCCACGCCGUAAACGAUGGAUACUAGCUGUUGGGAGCAAUCUCAGUGCGUAGACGAAGUAGAGUAAGUAUACCACCGUCGGGUAGGUACGUUACGUCGAAGAAGUAGUAAACGUUAAAGGUAAAGUUAGUACGGACGUAGAGACGUUAGCGACGGACGACGACGAGGGAGGAGG
rnacentral:rRNA from 1 species